UGUGGAUGUCAGAUGGAGUGCACAAGGACGGCAGUGGUUGAAACAAACAGCCUGUACACAAAGAGAUCCAGGGUCUGCAUAUGACCUGGACUGGGCGCCAGUAGAUGGAAGAGUCAGCCGCCCUGCAAGUGAUAACACUGUUCUGGGGAUGAAAUCACAGAGAGGACCCUCCUGGCUUUCCGCCUCAACACAGAGCCACACUGCACUUCUUAAAGAAGCCACUUCAUCACUGGGAAGUACAACUGUUCACUCUGCUCCUUAACAACUCCUGGGUCCUGAGUUCGAUUCUGGACUGGAACACAUUCUGUGUGGAGUCUGCAUGUUCUCCUGUGCUUGUGUGGGUGUCUUCUCACCUUGCAAAGACAUGCUGUCUAGCUUACUCAGUGUCUGCGUGUGGAUGUGUGCCCCACAAUGAAUUAGCAUCCUGUCCCGACAUUCACACUGUUCUUCCUGGAAGAGGAACAAGUGGCUUUCUGCUUGUGAAUGGGGCGAUAGAACUCAUCAGCAUAAUUUAAACUUUCGUAUUGUAGAUUAAACAGGAAUGUCUGCACUUCUUUCAUGAAAUAGCCAUCUCAGUUUUUCAGAGAACUAUCUGACGAUUGUUCAAGGCAUGGCAGCUGAAGCCCAUUAAAUUCAGACCUAUUUCAGACAGACAUUGUUAGAAUUACAGAGGUGUCUGCAGCAGUUUGUGAAAGAGGAAGGAGCUGCAUAUUACAAAAUGCAAAAGGCAAAAGAGGUUCAAGUGUUUUAUAACCCAUUAGGCGCAUGCAUCACCAUAAAAUGUGUAAUGUAUCAGUUGCAUCUAUCCAUCCAUUUUCUAAAUUGCUUUAUCCAGCACAGGGAUCUGGGGGCGUCCGGAGCCUAUGUCGGCAAGCAACGGGCACUAGGUGGGAUACACCCUGGACAGAAUGCCAGUUUAUCGCAGGUACAAACACUGCUCUGACACACACGAGCCUCCCUAUGGAACUUUACAACAGCAUGUUUGCUCUCCUAGGACCACUGCAGGUCUCAUGGCCUCAGCUCGCCUGGCCACACUCACUGCCCAACAAGGACUUGGUGUCUGGAGCAACGACGCACAAGCUAAAGACCUGGACCAGCCAAAGGAACCAGAAGAACCAGCCGAUCGUGUCCGUGCAAAGAUACUUCGAAAUUGAAAAACAAAUCUCGCUGCAGAAAUGAGAGGUGCCUCCACUCCACCAACUUCUCUCUCCCACAGCC